rnacentral:rRNA from 1 species
UUCCGGUUGAUCCCGCCGGACCUGACUGCUAUCAGAUUGAUACUAAGCCAUGUUAGUCAUUGUAGUAAUACAAGGCAGACGGCUCAGUAACACGUAGUCAACCUAACUUAUGGACGGGAAUAACCUCGGGAAACUGAGAAUAAUACCCGAUAGGUCAUGAUGCCUGGAAUGGUUUAUGACUCAAAUGAAUGUCGCCGUAGGAUGGGACUGCGAGCUAUCAGCUUGUUGGUGAGGUAAUGGCCCACCAAGGCUAUAACAGCUACGGGCUCUGAGAGGAGUAGCCCGGAGAUGGGUACUGAGACAAGGACCCAGGCCCUAUGGGGCGCAGCAGGCGAGAAAACUUUGCAAUGCGCGAAAGCUCGACAAGGUUAAUCUGAGUGGUUCCUGCUAAAGGAACCUUUUGUUAGUCGUAGAACCACUGAUGAAUAAGGGGUGGGCAAGUUCUGGUGUCAGCGCCGCGGUUAAACCAGCACCUCAGGUGGUCA